rnacentral:rRNA from 1 species
UGGGGAAUUUUGGACAAUGGGGGCAACCCUGAUCCAGCCAUGCCGCGUGAGUGAAGAAGGCCUUCGGGUUGUAAAGCUCUUUCGCAAGGGAAGAAACGAUUUAGACGAAUAAUCUAAGUUAAUGACGGUACCUUGAUAAGAAGCACCGGCUAACUACGUGCCAGCAGCCGCGGUAAUACGUAGGGUGCGAGCGUUAAUCGGAAUUACUGGGCGUAAAGCGAGCGCAGGCGGUUCUGCAAGUCAGAUGUGAAAUCCCCGGGCUCAACCUGGGAACUGCGUUUGAAACUACAGAGCUAGAGUAUGGGAGAGGGAGGUAGAAUUCCACGUGUAGCAGUGAAAUGCGUAGAGAUGUGGAGGAAUACCAAUGGCGAAGGCAGCCUCCUGGCCUAAUACUGACGCUCAUGCUCGAAAGCGUGGGGAGCAAA